rnacentral:tRNA from 1 species
UGUCCACUCAGCCAUCUCUCC